rnacentral:rRNA from 1 species
UGGCGAUGCGUUUAAGCAUGCAAGUCGAGCGGGCUUAUUCGGGCAACUGGAUAAGUUAGCGGCGAACUGGUGAGUAACACGUAGGUAAUCUGCCGUGAAGUGGGGGAUAACCCAUGGAAACAUGGACUAAUACCGCAUAUACUCUUGCUACAUAAGUAGAGUAGAGGAAAGUUUUUUCGCUUCACGAUGAGCCUGCGGCCUAUUAGCCUGUUGGUAGGGUAAUGGCUACCAAAGCUACGAUAGGUAGCCGACCUGAGAGGGUGACCGGCCACAUUGGGACUGAGAUACGGCCCAGACUCCUACGGGAGGCAGCAGCUGAGAAUCUUCCACAAUGGACGAAAGUCUGAUGGAGCGACAUCGCGUGAGGGAUGAAGGCCUUCGGGUUGUAAACCUCGGAAAUUAUCGAAGAAUGAGUGACAGUAGAUAAUG